rnacentral:rRNA from 1 species
CUCCUACGGGACGCAGCAGUGGGGAAUUUUGCGCAAUGGGGGAAACCCUGACGCAGCAACGCCGCGUGCGGGACGAAGGCCCUCGGGUCGUAAACCGCUUUCAGCAGGGAAGACCACGACGGUACCUGCAGAAGAAGCUCCGGCUAACUACGUGCCAGCAGCCGCGGUAAUACGUAGUGGGCGAGCGUUAUCCGGAUUCAUUGGGCGUAAAGCGCGCGUAUGCGGCCGCCUAAGCGGAACCUCUCACCCCGUGGCUCAACCUC